UCCCGGUUCACCCGGGCAGUCUCGCUAGAGUUCCCAUCUUUACAUGCUGGCAACUAACGAUAAGGGUUGCGCUCGUUGCGGGACUUAACCCAACACCUCACGGCACGAGCUGACGACAGCCAUGCAGCACCUGUUCAGCAGCCCCGAAGGGAAUUUGCAUUUCUGCAAACGUCUACUGUAUGUCAAGACCAGGUAAGGUUCUUCGCGUUGCAUCGAAUUAAACCACAUGCUCCACUGCUUGUGCGGGUCCCCGUCAAUUCUUUUGAGUUUUACCCUUGCGAGCGUACUCCCCAGGCGGUGUACUUAUCGCGUUAGCUUCGGCACAACUGGGGUUGAGUCCAGUUACACCAAGUACACAUCGUUUACGGCAAGGACUAC
rnacentral:misc_RNA from 1 species